GAACGGGCCCGCAAGGGAUAGUGGCGAACGGGUGAGUAACACGUAGAUAUCUGCCUCGCCGGAGGGAAUAACUCCUCGAAAGAGGAGCUAAUACCCAAAAGGGUCCGCAAGGAUCAGAGUCCGCAAGGGCCUGGCGAGAGGAGUCUGCGGCCCAUCAGCUAGUUGGUAGGGUAAUGGCCUACCAAGGCUAUGACGGGUAGGGGGUCUGAGAGGAUGUCCCCCCACACUGGAACUGAAACACGGUCCAGACACCUACGGGUGGCAGCAGGGAGGAAUAUUGGACAAUGGGGGAAACCCUGAUCCAGCAACGCCGCGUGAGGGAUGAAGGCCUUCGGGCUGUAAACCUCUUUUCAGGGAGAAGAGAAAGGACGGUAUCCCUGGAAUAAGCCACGGCUAACUACGUGCCAGCAGCCGCGGUAAUACGUAGGUGGCGAGCGUUAUCCGGAUUUACUGGGCGUAAAGCGCUUGUAGGCGGCUUCGUAAGUUGGGCGUGAAAGCUCCGGGCUUAACCCGGAGAGGUCGUUCAAUACUGCGAAGCUCGAGGGUGCCAGAGGAAGGUGGAAUUCCUGGUGUAGCGGUGAAAUGCGUAGAUAUCAGGAGGAACACCCGUGGCGAAGGCGGCCUUCUG
rnacentral:rRNA from 1 species